GUGGGGAAUCUUGCGCAAUGGGCGAAAGCCUGACGCAGCCAUGCCGCGUGAAUGAUGAAGGUCUUAGGAUUGUAAAAUUCUUUCACCGGGGACGAUAAUGACGGUACCCGGAGAAGAAGCCCCGGCUAACUUCGUGCCAGCAGCCGCGGUAAUACGAAGGGGGCUAGCGUUGCUCGGAAUUACUGGGCGUAAAGGGCGCGUAGGCGGACAGCUUAGUCAGAGGUGAAAGCCCAGGGCUCAACCUUGGAAUUGCCUUUGAUACUGGCUGUCUUGAUUGUGGGAGAGGUGAGUGGAACUCCGAGUGUAGAGGUGAAAUUCGUAGAUAUUCGGAAGAACACCAGUGGAGAAGGCGACUCACUGGCCCAAUACUGACGCUGAGGCGCGAAAGCGUGGGGAGCAAACAGGAUUAGAAACCCGAGUAGUCC
rnacentral:rRNA from 1 species